GACGAACCGUGCGAACGUUGUUCGGAAUUACUGGGCGUAAAGGGCGCGUAGGCGGCACGGCAAGUCAGGAGUGAAAGGCCUGGGCUCAACCGAGGAACUGCUUUUGAGACUGCCGAGCUAGAGUGCGGAAGGGGCAACCGGAAUUCCCAGUGUAGCGGUGAAAUGCGUAGAUAUUGGGAAGAACACCUGAGGCGAAGGCGGGUUGCUGGGCCGACACUGACGCUGAGGCGCGAAAGCCAGGGGAGCAAACGGG
rnacentral:rRNA from 1 species